GCAACAACCAAUUUUAACUUAGAAAUUGUAAAGACCCCAAACAGAAAAACGAAAAGUCAGGAAUCUACAGUAUCCCAGUUGAAAACAUGAGCACAAUUCAAAAAGCCCCUCAUAUAGGGGUCAGUGGCUGCACUCUAAAAGAAAGACUUCAGGAACAUGAAAAAAACAUAAGGAAUGACAACCAUACUGGUGGUGGAAUGCUAUGCAUCAAACAUAAUGAUGGAUUGAGAGCAGCAAAAAUAAUCAAACAAGUACCAAAUAUGAAACAAGGAUUAAUUUCAGAAGUGUUAGAAAUAAUCAAGAGGAAAAAACACAAAAAUAUACUAAACAAAAAAAACAUCAGAAAAUUUACCAACACCAUGGCAGUAUGUAGAGAC
rnacentral:lncRNA from 1 species